AUGCAUGUYUAAGCACAAACUGAAAUAAAGUGAAGCCGCGAAUAGCUCAUUACAACAGCCAUUGUUUACUUGAUCUUGAAAUCAUACUUGGAUAACUGUGGUAAUUCUAGAGCUAAUACACGCAAUUAAGCUCUGAUCCUCUCGGUGACGAGUGCAUUUAUUAGAACAAAACCAAUCGGACCUCGGUCUGUCUCUGGUGAAUCUGAAUAACUCAGCUGAUCGCACGGUCUCGUACCGGUGACGCAUCUUUCAAGUGUCUGCCUUAUCAACUGUUGAUGGUAGUUUACGUGACUACCAUGGUUGUAACGGGUAACGGAGAAUAAGGGUUCGACUCCGGAGAGGGAGCCUGAGAAACGGCUACCACAUCCAAGGAAGGCAGCAGGCGCGUAAAUUACCCACUCUCGGCACGAGGAGGUAGUGACGAAAAAUAACGAGACGGGUCUCAUUGAGGUCCGUUAUCGGAAUGAGUACAAUCUAAACCUUUUAACGAGGAUCUAUCAGAGGGCAAGUCUGGUGCCAGCAGCCGCGGUAAUUCCAGCUCUGAAGGUGUAUACCACCGUUGUUGCGGUUGAAACGCUCGUAGUUGGAUCUAUGUUCAAGGGGUCGGUACUCUCUUAUGGGAGUUACUGGCUACCUGAACUCAUUUCGCUGGUUUUCCCUUGGUGCUCUUCAUUGGGUGUCUUGGGUGGCUGGCAAUUUUACUUUGAAAAAAUUAGAGUGCUCAAAACAGGCGCAUGCCUGAAUAGUGGUGCAUGGAAUAAUGGAAUAGGAUCUUGGUCCUAUUUUGUUGGUUUUCGGGAGCCAAGAUAAUGGUUAAGAGGGACAGACGGGGGCAUUCGUAUUGCAGCGUUAGAGGUGAAAUUCUUGGAUCGUUGCAAGACGAACAACUGCGAAAGCAUUGCCCAAAGAAUGG
rnacentral:rRNA from 1 species